rnacentral:rRNA from 1 species
GAUGAACGCUGGCGGCGUGCCUAAUACAUGCAAGUCGAGCGAACAGACGAGAGUGCUUGCACUCUCUGACGUUAGCGGCGGACGGGUGAGUAACACGUGGGUAACCUACCUAUAAGACUGGGAUAACUUCGGGAAACCGGAGCUAAUACCGGAUAAUAUUUAGCUUCGCAUGAAGCAAUAGUGACAGACGGUUCUGCUGUCACUUAUAGAUGGACCCGCGGUGUAUUAGCUAGUUGGUGAGGUAACGGCUCACCAAGGCAACGAUACAUAGCCGACCUGAGAGGGUGAUCGGCCACACUGGGACUGAGACACGGACCAGACUCCUACGGGAGGCAGCAGUAGGGAAUCUUCCGCAAUGGACGAAAGUCUGACGGAGCAAUGCCGCGUGAGUGAAGAAGGUUUUCGGAUCGUAAAACUCUGUUGUAAGGGAAGAACAAGUACGUUAGUAACUGAACGUACCUUGACGGUACCUUACCAGAAAGCCACGGCUAACUACGUG